AAACUGGAGGAAGGUGGGGAUGACGUCAAGUCAUCAUGGCCCUUACGACCAGGGCUACACACGUGCUACAAUGGCGCAUACAAAGAGAAGCGACCUCGCGAGAGCAAGCGGACCUCAUAAAGUGCGUCGUAGUCCGGAUUGGAGUCUGCAACUCGACUCCAUGAAGUCGGAAUCGCUAGUAAUCGUGGAUCAGAAUGCCACGGUGAAUACGUUCCCGGGCCUUGUACACACCGCCCGUCACACCAUGGGAGUGGGUUGCAAAAGAAGUAGGUAGCUUAACCUUCGGGAGGGCGCUUACCACUUUGUGAUUCAUGACUGGGGUGAAGUCGUAACAAGGUAACCGUAGGGGAACCUGCGGUUGGAUCAC
rnacentral:rRNA from 1 species